CCUACGGGUGGCAGCAGUGAGGAAUAUUGGUCAAUGGGCGCGAGUCUGAACCAGCCAAGUCGCGUGAGGGAUGAAGGUUCUAUGGAUCGUAAACCUCUUUUAUAAGGGGAUAAAGUGUGGCACGUGUCCUAUUUUGUAUGUACCUUAUGAAUAAGGAUCGGCUAACUCCGUGCCAGCAGCCGCGGUAAUACGGAGGAUCCGGGCGUUAUCCGGAUUUAUUGGGUUUAAAGGGUGCGUAGGCGGCCUUUUAAGUCAGCGGUGAAAGGCUGUGGCUCAACCAGAGAAUUGCCGUUGAAACUGGGGGGCUUGAGUAUGUUUGAGGCAGGCGGAAUGCGUGGUGUAGCGGUGAAAUGCUUAGAUAUCACGCAGAACCCCGAUUGCGAAGGCAGCCUGCCAUGCCAUGACUGACGCUGAUGCACGAAAGCGUGGGGAUCGAACAGGAUUAGAUACCCCUGUAGUC
rnacentral:rRNA from 1 species